GCUUUGCAGACGCGGUGAUUCACUACCUUGUCUUUGUGCUGUAGCAUUCAGUGGAUGCAGUUGAUUGUCAAGUUCUAGUCGUAAAAGAGGGCUUUGAUUUCGUCUCAGUUUGAGGGCUCCUGCUGAAAAUGAUGAUGGGCAGGAAUUACAGUCUUCUGGCUUCUCGAUAGGGCACGUCUUCUGGACCUUCUGCUGCCAACAGGCGGUACUGACUUCUUCGAUGUCUUUUCUCAUUCGCACUAACCUUGUGCUAAAGCUGUCGUCUUGAUGUCGCAUCUCGGUCUGUAUACAUAUAUAUGAAAAGCAGAAUAAUGUACGGCUGAAGUCCAACCGACAAAACGAGUGACUCACGAGUCCAGCUCUAAGGCGUUCAAUAGCGGCAUCCAUUUCGUCUUCAAUUUCUUCGACAGUCUGCUCGCGGUGGCUGCGCCGGCGAAAGGCAUUAGAACGACCGAGCUCAGAGUUCAUUGAACCAAAGUAGACAAGUGACGCCAUCCACUUGAGGAACUAGUUGUGAAGAAAUUACGUACGGCGCAGAUUAGGUACACAGAUGAGUUGGUAAGUCAACACGGAAGUAUAGAAUGAAAAACGUCGAAGAACAGUUCAACUUGCAGUGGCAAAUGGCACUGAGUGGACCUCUCUUGAUGUCUGACCUGAACAGGAUGUGACUGAAUGCGGAAUGGUUUGAGGUGGUGAGUCUUCUGGAAACGCGGGGUUGGCAGUGAAUCCCUUCAACUGUCAUCCAUCUGUUUGUAUUGUACUCAGAUGACUGGCAACUCUACAAACAAUGACGUGUGGCGGAAUGUUUGCACAGUUGAGAAGUUUAACUCAUUUGAUAACACGUUGAUCAUUGAGUGUACUGUACGUUCUACAACGGAAAUAGAGGACUAAUUAAAUAAAUAUAUUACAAGAUGCAGCAGCUUGCA